CGCCGCGGUCAGCCGCGCCUGCCCGGAGUUCCCUGGCCGGCGGCCGGCCGCUGGGGCCCAGGAUUGUCUUAAGGGCCGAAAAAAGAGGGAAGGGGGGAGUGUGGGGAACUGCCAAGUGACCGGCAGAGGAUAUAUAACAUUUUCUUUCACCAUCGACAAUCUCGCACAAUGUAUGAAAGAGACGGUAUCGCCUGGACAGGAGCGUGAGGCCGCGGGCAAGGAAUCCAUUUUUAUGGAGUGACCUUGGACCUGACCCAGUCUGCAAACAUUGUAUUUCCCUCUGCUGGGUUUUCUGGCUGUGAAACUGUUAAGAGGAUGCCGUUAAGCCUGAUUUUCAGUCUCCUCUCUGCAGGGCAGGGCUGGGACCUGGCGAGCCAGGUCGGUUCUUGGGAUGAAAAACCCCUUCGAAAGGAUAAAGGAGGGGAACAGACAGUGAAGGGGCCUGUGACACGAGCCCCGGGGCAGCCUGGGAGGACGGAUCCACCGUCUUCCCCAUCCUCCCAGAGGGGAGCGAGGACCUCAGAAACAGCUCCAGGCUGAGGCAGCUCACCCCUGAUGCAGGCGCAGCUGGAGCACACCGCCUUCUCUGGACUCAGUACUAAUGGGCCUGUCCAACCGAUGCCUUUUGCCUGCCACAGCUCCCUUUGGAUGGCCUGGGGGCAGCUUCACCUCAGCACUCACAAACCGAGCUCUUGAAAUUCAUCUCCACAACCUUCCCCGUCUCAGAACGUAACCUGCACUAGGGCAGAGCCCCGCCUGUCUUCUCACUGCUGUAUCCCUGAUGCUCAAUAAGCAUUUGUUGAAUGAAGAGCUAGAUGGAUGGAUUCCAUGAAGGCACAGCAAGUACUAAACGCCUGGUCUGUAUCAGGUUCUGCGCUGGGUGCUGAGGCGACACACGUGAACAAGACCUCCUGUCCCACCCACAGAGCCCUAGUCUGAGGAGGGACACAGACGCCAAGCAAGAAAUCACGAAGCACGUGGAAUGGGCUGGUGUCCGGGAAUGAGCGCAGAGGAGGAAUUGGUCCGGCCGGUCCGAGGGAGCUUCCUGAAGGAGGGGGCAUACUCGGGGCGACCCGGGAGGUGAA